CUCGAUGAACUUUGUCGCCAUCCAAUGCCCCUUUUGAUAGGCCUCUUGGGGGAGGAGGUGGUGGAGGCGGACCACCUGGUGGACGAGGAGGAGGAGGAGGUGGAGGAACAGAUGUAGCAGAUGGUAUUCCACUCGAAGGAGCAUUAUCGGAACCAGCACCAGAUGGUUUAGGAGGUGGCCUAGGCACCCUAGUAGGCCUUUUCUCGAUGUCGACUAGCUUCAUCUUGCUAAUGCUUUGAUUUUCAACAUUCUUUCCAUCCUGAGAUUGAUCAUU
rnacentral:lncRNA from 1 species